rnacentral:snoRNA from 1 species
UGGACAUUAAUUCUUAUUCAGUUUCUUCUCAAGGUGAAGAUAACUCUUUAUAAAUGUCCUAGAGAAAUAUAGUAGCUUUCUGUUCACCCUUUGCACGUAAAAAGGGUUUAUCAUUCCACUACUGACACUU